GUCCGGGGCUUUUUUUAUCAAAAACAUUCUCUUCUCCACUGAAUGUAAUAAGAGAGAUCUACAACAAGUUUAGCUAAAAGUCUGGAGUCUGACUUCAUGUACCUUAAACUGGGGCUCCCGAGCGGUCUAAGGCAUUGGAUCUGUGCUUGAGGCGUAAACAAGAAUUUGUUCUUAACUCACUUGCCUAGUUAAAUAAAGGUAAAAAAAUAAAUAAACUGAGCCUCCUGACUGGAUCGGUUGGGAUUAAUGUAAACAGACCGGACAUUACUCGUCUUCUAAAACAAGAAUGCACUCUGUAAUGUGAUACUUGCAUGGCAGUUAUACCCAUAUGAAUAUGAUAUAGUUUUUAUUGACAUUUAUUUUUCCACCAGAUGAGACUAAUGAAUGAUUUUCAGAAGGAAGUGACAAUCUUUUGGAUUCGCCACCCACAAAAGUACAUGGAGGAGAUAAUAGAGUACUUUCUCCCUCCUGUCCUUACACCCUGAACACGGAUUAGAGACACGAGGGUCAGAGAAAGCCUUGCACCUCAUUGCCUUACUGGAUAUCAAAGCCACCUGGUUUAAUAGGUGGAUGGUGUGCACAAUAUAAACCUAGCUUCUAUUAACACUACAAGAAACCAACCCCCCCGCCCAUAAGUAGGCUAACUAAUUGUCAGUGCUGAGUGAAGAUGAUGUCAGUCCUGUCUCCUACAGCAGGACCGUGGUCUACAGGCGUCUGGAGAUGAAGUACAAGUCUCUGAUUGUAGCAGCUCUUCAGCAGUGUAUCUAUUGAGUCCUGUGACCCAUUCAUAGACGAGACGGGUGAGGUCAUCCACUCUAUCGAGAACCAGCACAUCAGUGAGUUCAACUUUAAUCUACACAGGACGAAAGAUAUAUACAAAAUAAUUGAUGUAC
ensembl:lncRNA